CAGGACUUUCCGGCCAUUUUAUCUAGUUCAGACUAAAGAAUUUCUUUAACAAUGCACAUUUGUCACUUGGGACAUAUUUAGAGAGACAGCAGCUCUUUAGUGAGCCAAGCUAUCACAAAUGCUGAUGUAGGGUGCAUGUGAGGUCUGCUUCCCUUGCUUUUAUUUCCUGCUGUAAAGAACUAAACACUGGAGAAAACAGCACCAUUUUCUUCCACUAUUUCGACUUCAGGACAAGCCUGAUUGCAAAGUCUUGCUUCCGCAAGCAGAAAUAAAAGUCUUGAAGACUAAUAAGACUUCCAUCAACAAUUCUCACCAGCUGUGCCACCAUUUUCCAUGAUGGUUAAGCUGCAAGUGCCAUCUGAACAUCUACGCAGCUUUUCAAGAAAUCGCUGACUCCAGGAAGAAAGAACAUUCUGUUGUGGGGUGUUCACCAGAAAAGACUUCUCAGACAUGGGUUUUAGCCAAAUAGAAAGUCCUUCUUAGCCAACCAGUGACUACACUGUGUGUUCCAGAUCACUGGUGAGGCCCUGAGCCUUUCUCUGGGUUAGCUUUUAAGCACAAAAAUCAUGUGAGGUACUUCAAUUGACAAGAACAGUUAGCUAGAAGCAGAACUACAGAAGCCAGAAAACAAGGGUGAUACAUUUAGAGACUCCCAAAACUAUGGACUUUGAUGGAUUGAGGUUUUGUUUUAGUUUUGACAGGUAGUGCCACCUAUUACAGCCGGAAUGGCAUUUCAAUCAUGAAGUCAGUUGUGCUAAGGUCUCAGGGCCUGUUACAUACCAAAAUCACCUUCCACAGUACCAAAGGAUGUGUCCAUGUGAACAAAGCUCACCUGACAGGCGAUUGUGGGAUUCCAGAACAAAAGUGUGUAAAGAAUUCGUGUUUCUAUUUCAUUCUUCCUAUUUUCCAGAUGUUAUUCUUCUGACAGGAAAGAAAGGCUGUGUAAAAGGCUCCCUUUCUGAACUCCAGUAAUUGCUUUUAGUAAUCAUGAAACCAUCGUGAAUUCUAUGAAUGUUUCUUCUCUAAAAUUGUUAUAAUACCAUUUUUUUAUUCAUAAGUGUAAAACGUGGUAAUAGUCAAAGUGGUUUGUAUUCCUAACUUUAGGUCUUUUCACUUAUUAAUGAAAGCUAAUUUACAAAUAGCAAUUGAUGAUCUUGGACCUGUCAAGAAACUAGAGGAUCUCAAAAAAAAAAAAAA